rnacentral:misc_RNA from 1 species
GAUCUUCCUGGUAUCAUUGAGGGUGCUAAAGAUGGGAAGGGGCAAGGCAGGCAGGUUAUCCAUACAGCAAGGACAUGCAAUUGUAUCUUAAUUGUUCUCGACGCAAUAAAGCUGAUCACUCACAAGCGUCUGAUAGAAAAAGAGCUUGAGGGAUUUGGCAUAAGAUUGAACAAGGAACCUCCUAAUAUUUCAUUUAGGAAGAAAGACAAGGGUGGGAUUAAUUUUGUCUCAACAGUUACC